UGGAAACAUCACACUUUACAUCCUACUACUUUAGCCCAACCGUUAGAACGAAGAAGACCGCUCCUAGACGAUACGACGACGGAGGAGUUGCGCCUUCAUAUCUUGUUACAGACGUUCCUGACAUAUUUUGUCAGAUUGGAAGACUUGCUGGCAAAGUGAGAGAAGUUUGGUGGGAAGAUCAUGCACAUGCUCAUGCGGCUCACAUUUAUAUUAUGCGAAACAUUGACUACUUGCAGGAAUUUGAAAGGUAUAGUACUCAUACAAAUUGAACAUAUAUAAAUUGUAUUGAUUACUUUGGUUUUAUAUUUACAUAUAUGCCUAACAAAUAACAAUUCUUAGAUGCAGCAUAUUCAACUUACAAAUUCGAGAACACUAUCCUAAUUUAGAAGAAAAGGAUUAUGAGCACUUGAACGAACGAGAUUAUCCUGGGUGGUUAGAAUACUAUGUACAUACAAUCUUUAGACUUUUAAAAUUAAAAUGACUUAUUUUAAUAUUUAUAUAUUUUGAGCAGGUGAAAAAUGGAUGUCAUGACAAACCAAUUCCGCGAUGGUUGUAUGAAUUUGUUGACAAACCGGUUGCUAAGAUCACUACUGCUCCAAUGUACUUCACUCGUGGAUACACUUUUCAUACGUAUACACACGGUUCGAAGAGAUCAACCGCAAAUUUUGGAAUCCAACUCCAAGGUGAAACUGACUUCUACGGUGUAUUGCAACAGAUCAUAGAAGUCACUUACCCGGGAAGCAUCAACUUAAAAUGCGUAUUAUUUAAGUGUGAUUGGUAUGAUCCAACGAGUGGCCGAGGGGUCCGGAAAAAUAACCUUGGGGUCAUUGAUGUCAAUGCAAAUAGACGUUAUGCAAAAUUCGAACCAUAUUGCCUUGCAUCACAAGCAGAUCAAGUAUGUUUUCUUCCAUAUCCAAGGAUUAGAGAAAGGCGUGAAAGGUGGUUAUCAGUGAUUAAAGUGAAUCCGCGAGGGUGUAUAAUCGUCAGAGAAAUUGCCGAUGUCGCUAUGCAGGCCGAAAGAGUUGCUGAAAUGUCUGUCCCAACCGAAUCGACUGAGAAUAUUUUACACAUCGAUCCAGAUAACCAAGAAACAGAAGUCAUUGUUGAUGAUUCCACCGAAGGGUCUGUUUCAGAAGAAGACGAGUUUGAUGCUGAAACUGACGAAGAUGACAUCACAAAUGAUGAGGCUGAAAAUAGAGACAAUGAAAAUGUAUCUGAAAAUGAAUCCGAUUAGACAAAAUUUCACAUUUAUGCUCUAUUGUCUUGUAUUUGAAUUUUUUUUAAAAAAAAAAAUAUAACAAGAUGCGAUGGAAUUGCGACGAAAUUGCGACGAAAUUGCAAGAUUUCCUCGCAACUCCCUCUCAAAUUUGCGACGGAUUUGCAUGGUCAUCCUCGCAAUUCCGUCGCAACUCUUCGAACCACUAGCCAAAACCCUAAACGAAUCCCUAAAACACAGCCGUUGCAAUUCGCUCGCAAAUUUGCAAGGGAUUUGCAAGGGAUUGGCGUCGAAUAUUAGGUUAAUAUAUAAAGACAGUUAACCUUUCUGCUCCAUUACUCUCUGCCGUCAAAGAAAAAAAAAAUUCUAAAUCGUCCCUCCUCUCUGCGUAUCCUCCCCGGUCUCUUUCUCCCCGCAGCCUGACGUCUCCUGUCAAGUCUCGCCGGACUCUCCCGCCUCUCCUCUCCGCCGUAUCUCUCUCUCUGUGCCUCUCCUUUCGCAGCCCACGCCUCAGUCUCGCCGGACUCUCCCGCCUCUCCUCUCCGCCGUAUCUCUCUCUCUGUGCCUCUCCUUUCGCAGCCCUCGCCUCAGUCUCGCCGGACUCUCCCGCCUCUCCUCUCCGCCGUAUCUCUCUCUCUGUGCCUCUCCUUUCGCAGCCCACGCCUCAGUCUUGCCGGAGUCUCCCCCUCUCCUCACCACCGUAUCUCUCUCUCUGUGCCUCUCCUUUCGCAGCCCACGCCUCAGUCUUGGCGGAGUCUCCCCCUCUCCUCACCGCCGUGUCUCUCUCUCUGUGCCUCUCCUCUCCGAUGUCUCAGUCUCGCCGGAUUUCAUUCUCUCCACUCUCUCCUCGCCGAUCCACUUCGAUCUAGGUCUCCUUGCCGGAUCUCCUUCUCUCAACCCGUCUCUCGCCGGAUCUCUCUCCUCACGGUCGUCCUCAUCCGCCGUCAUACUCGCCGGACUUCCACCGUCAUUAUCUCGAACCGGCUCUGUCCCUUUUUAAAGGUUACAAAUUUUGGUCUAUAUUUAAGUUUAAUUAUCAGUUUAGGUUUUGAUUAUCAGUUUAGGUUAUCGAUUAGUGAUGAUUCUGUGUUUGGUUAGGGUUUUAACUAUUUAGGUUUGGUUAAUUUCUUGGCAGAUGUCAGGAAAUGAUUCUCUGUCCCUUUUGAAAGGUUACAAAUUUUGGUCUAUGUUUAAGUUUAAUUAUCAGUUUAGGUUUUGAUUAUCAGUUUAGGUUAUCGAUUUGUGAUGAUUCUGUGUUUGGUUAGGGUUUUAACUAUUUAGGUUUGGUUAAUUUCUUGGCAGAUGUCAGGAAAUGAUUAUAGCCGCUAUCUAUCUUCUGGUGGUAAGAAGACUUCUGGUGGUAAGAAGACUUCUGGUAGUACGAAAAGUUCAUCCCGUCAUACCAAUCCGGGUAGUUCUUCUAGUUCCUAGAUGGCCGAGAGUUUGACUGUUCCUAAUAGCCAGACGCAAGCUUCCCCUCCAGCUCCCGCCCCAGCUCCUCCAGCUCCCGCCCCAGCUCCUGCAGCUCCCGCCCCAGCUCCUGCAGCUCCCGCCCCAGACCCGGCGGCAGAUUUAGCGGCAAUCAAUAUGAUUUUGGCUAGUCCUGGACAUGAUCGUCUUCCUCACCUCCAUCCAGAUCGCCCUCCAAAUACGCUUUGGUUUGAUGACGAUGUAAGCGUUGCUGCAUCGGUCCGUCAAAUCUUUGAAAGAGAUUUCAAAGAACCGCAUGCUAAUUGGAAGCAAACCCCCGGGGAUGUUGUGAGACGUUGGUUUGAAUCCUUUGCGUAAAUGUAUCAUUGGGAUUCCGGUAUAACAUCCCUCGUUCGCAACUCUUUCGAGGCUAAAUUGAAACUCCAGUUGACUCGCCAAGUUAGUCGGUGGAAGAGUAACUGGCGGAAAAAAGGCGAUGCAGCUAUGCCUUUGUGGUUUGACCCAAAUGUUUGGGCUGGUCUUGUUGCUUAUUGGUUAGAUCCAGAAUCUGAAGUCCGGAGUUGUAACAGUCGGGCAGCUCGUUACUCUGACCCUGAUGGACAUGGACCGUCUAAGCAUCGUUCAGGUCAGACUUCCUUCAGGGCCCGUGCACGAGUGAUUGCUGAGCAAACUGGAUGUUCUAUUCCAGACUUGCUUGGGGUUCUCGAGAUCACUAAACGAAACCCGGAUGGUUCUUUUGUUGAUGGCAAAUCUGAGCAGCUCUACAACGAUGUGACAUCUAAAUUUCAGGAAUUAUCUAAGGCUGCUAGUGAUGAUCCCGAGAGCACUGGUUCUAGUGGCCUCUCUCCAAUGGAAAAGAGCAAGAUCUAUUGUGAG